AACGAAGGGGGCUAGCGUUGUUCGGAUUUACUGGGCGUAAAGCGCACGUAGGCGGAUUGUUAAGUUAGGGGUGAAAUCCUGGAGCUCAACUCCAGAACUGCCUUUAAUACUGGCAAUCUAGAGUCCGGAAGAGGUGAGUGGAACUCCUAGUGUAGAGGUGGAAUUCGUAGAUAUUAGGAAGAACACCAGUGGCGAAGGCGGCUCACUGGUCCGGUACUGACGCUGAGGUGCGAAAGCGUGGGGGAGC
rnacentral:rRNA from 1 species